rnacentral:rRNA from 1 species
CCCUCCCGGCCCCCCGCCCCCGGGCGGGUCGGCGCCCGCCGGAGGAUAACCAAACUCUGAUUUAACGACGUUUCUUCUGAGUGGUACAAGCAAAUAAUCAAAACUUUUAACAACGGAUCUCUUGGUUCUGGCAUCGAUGAAGAACGCAGCGAAAUGCGAUAAGUAAUGUGAAUUGCAGAAUUCAGUGAAUCAUCGAAUCUUUGAACGCACAUUGCGCCCGCCAGCAUUCUGGCGGGCAUGCCUGUUCGAGCGUCAUUUCAACCCUCAAGCUCUGCUUGGUGUUGGGGCCCUACAGCAGAUGUAGGCCCUCAAAGGUAGUGGCGGACCCUCCCGGAGCCUCCUUUGCGUAGUAACUUUACGUCUCGCACUGGGAUCCGGAGGGACUCUUGCCGUAAAACCCCCCAAUUUUCCAAAGGUGACCUCGGAUCAGGUA